rnacentral:rRNA from 1 species
UUCCGGUUGAUCCUGCCAGAGGUUACUGCUAUCGAGGUUCGACUAAGCCAUGCGAGUCGAAUGUAGCAAUACAUGGCGUACUGCUCAGUAACACGUGGACAACCUACCCUUGGGACGGGGAUAAACCCGGGAAACUGGGUAUAAUACCCGAUAGUCCUCGACUGCUGGAAUGCAUCGAGGUCGAAAGCUCCGGUGCCCAAGGAUGGGUCUGCGGCCUAUCAGGUAGUAGUGGGUGUAGCGUACCUACUAGCCUACGACGGGUACGGGUUGUGAGAGCAAGAGCCCGGAGAUGGAUUCUGAGACACGAAUCCAGGCCCUACGGGGUGCAGCAGGCGCGAAAACUUUACAAUGCUGGAAACAGCG